rnacentral:SRP_RNA from 1 species
GUUGGGCGUGGCGGCGUAAGCCUGUAAUCUAGCUACUUGGAGGCCAAGGUACGGAAUUUUGGGGGACCGAGAGUUCUGGCCUAUGGGUGCUCAUGUUGAUCCGGCGUCUAUGCUAAGCACGGCGUCGAUAUGAAUGACCUGUCAGAGGACGGGUUGUCCAGGUAGACUAAGGAGGGGCACACUGGCACAGUGGUUAGGACUCUCGCCGACCAUGAAUAUAGUCCGGAAUUCGAUCCCCGGCGGCCGACGCACACCUGAU